rnacentral:miRNA from 1 species
CCCCUGUGGAUUUUGUUAAAAUCCAGAUUCUGGUUCCAUAGGCCUGGAGUGGGGCCUGAGAGUCUGCAUUUCUGACAAGUUCGCAGGUGAUGCCA